UUCUGUCUGCAGGCUGCCCACAUUCCUUGACUCGUGGCGCUGCAUCAUUCAAUCUGAUUCUGUCUCCGUCACCUCUCCUUCUCUGACUCACUUGCCUUUCUCACUUAUAAGGACCCUUGUGAUACGUUGCACCCUCCUGGGAAGUCCAGAAUGAUCUCCCCAUCUCAAGAUCGGUAAUUUAAUGACAUCUGCAAAUUCCCUUUGACACACAAGUAUCUCUGUCUCAUGGAAGAUGGCGGAAGAGGGAUGGUUCUAGGAAAUUCACGAACGCCUAGGAAGAUGUGGCUCCUAAAAAGGUGCUUAUUUGCGGGAUGAAAUACGGCUCUUCCUGUGCGCAAACCCAGGCAAUUCCAUGGGGCCAUAAAGGUGCGGGCUUGAACUGUUUGUCUGUGGGGCUGUCUGUAAUCGCCGGCUCCUACCUGGUGCCCGCAGCCUGGGCCUCAAAUUGUGCUGGGAAGGGAUGCGGCGCAUGCGCGCUGUCAGCCCUGCCUCUGUCCUGGGAGCCAGCCAGGUAAGGC
rnacentral:lncRNA from 1 species